CAUCUAAGUACCCCGAGGAAAAGAAAUCAACCGAGAUUCCCCCAGUAGCGGCGAGCGAACGGGGAGGAGCCCAGAGCCUGAAUCAGCAUGUGUGUUAGUGGAAGCGUCUGGAAAGGCGCGCGAUACAGGGUGACAGCCCCGUACACAAAAGCGCAUGUGCUGUGAGCUCGAUGAGUAGGGCGGGACACGUGGUAUCCUGUCUGAAUAUGGGGGGACCAUCCUCCAAGGCUAAAUACUCCUGACUGACCGAUAGUGAACCAGUACCGUGAGGGAAAGGCGAAAAGAACCCCGGCGAGGGGAGUGAAAAAGAACCUGAAACCGUGUACGUACAAGCAGUGGGAGCACCCUUCGGGGUGUGACUGCGUACCUUUUGUAUAAUGGGUCAGCGACUUAUAUUCUGUAGCAAGGUUAACCGUAUAGGGGAGCCGGAGGGAAACCGAGUCUUAAUUGGGCGUUAAGUUGCAGGGUAUAGACCCGAAACCCGGUGAUCUAGCCAUGGGCAGGUUGAAGGUUGGGUAACACUAACUGGAGGACCGAACCGACUAAUGUUGAAAAAUUAGCGGAUGACCUGUGGCUGGGGGUGAAAGGCCAAUCAAACCGGGAGAUAGCUGGUUCUCCCCGAAAGCUAUUUAGGUAGCGCCUCGUGAAUUCAUCUCCGGGGGUAGAGCACUGUUUCGGCUAGGGGGCCAUCCCGGCUUACCAACCCGAUGCAAACUGCGAAUACCGGAGAAUGUUAUCACGGGAGACACACGGCGGGUGCUAACGUCCGUCGUGAAGAGGGAAACAACCCAGACCGCCAGCUAAGGUCCCAAAGUCAUGGUUAAGUGGGAAACGAUGUGGGAAGGCCCAGACAGCCAGGAUGUUGGCUUAGAAGCAGCCAUCAUUUAAAGAAAGCGUAAUAGCUCACUGGUCGAGUCGGCCUGCGCGGAAGAUGUAACGGGGCUAAACCAUGCACCGAAGCUGCGGCAGCGAACGUAUCACCCAAGACAACUUUACGGAGUUGACGAUUGACGGAGCGAAGCGACGUCAAAGCGUUCAUUAAAGUCGAGUUGGCUUAGGGAUACGUUCGUUGGGUAGGGGAGCGUUCUGUAAGCCUGUGAAGGUGUGUCGUGAGGCAUGCUGGAGGUAUCAGAAGUGCGAAUGCUGACAUAAGUAACGAUAAAGCGGGUGAAAAGCCCGCUCGCCGGAAGACCAAGGGUUCCUGUCCAACGUUAAUCGGGGCAGGGUGAGUCGACCCCUAAGGCGAGGCCGA
rnacentral:rRNA from 1 species